GACGAACGCUGGCGGCGUGCUUAACACAUGCAAGUCGAACGAAGAGCGAUGGAAGCUUGCUUCUAUCAAUCUUAGUGGCGAACGGGUGAGUAACGCGUAAUCAACCUGCCCUUCAGAGGGGGACAACAGUUGGAAACGACUGCUAAUACCGCAUACGAUCUAAUCUCGGCAUCGAGGAUAGAUGAAAGGUGGCCUCUACAUGUAAGCUAUCACUGAAGGAGGGGAUUGCGUCUGAUUAGCUAGUUGGAGGGGUAACGGCCCACCAAGGCGAUGAUCAGUAGCCGGUCUGAGAGGAUGAAAGGCCACAUUGGGACUGAGACACGGCCCAGACUCCUACGGGAGGCAGCAGUGGGGAAUCUUCCGCAAUGGACGAAAGUCUGACGGAGCAACGCCGCGUGAGUGAUGACGGCCUUCGGGUUGUAAAGCUCUGUUAAUCGGGACGAAAGGCCUUCUUGCGAAUAGUGAGAAGGAUUGACGGUACCGGAAUAGAAAGCCACGGCUAACUACGUG
rnacentral:rRNA from 1 species